rnacentral:lncRNA from 1 species
GGAAGUCGAGCUGUCGCUACCGCCGCCGCCUCCUUUGAUUUUAGCCAGUACUUCCCCUGCUUUUGAGAUCGCGAAGGAUACAUAAUCAGAAUUCGCAUCUGAAGCGUACGCACUCAGUGGUGGACUGGCAGUGAAGGAAGUCGAGCUGUCGCAGGAAGUCGAGCUGUCGCUACCGCCGCCGCCUCCUCCGAUUUUAGCCAAUACUUCCCCUGCUUUUGAGAUCGGGAAGGGUACAAUCUCGAAAAAGCUCUCAAAUAUUUGAGCUUUAACUUGACCCCUUUUUGGAGGAAAUCUUGGAGUUGGAAGGUUAGAAGAAGCGUACGCACUCAGUGGUGGACUGGUAGUGAAGGAAGUCGAGCUGUCGCUACCGCCGCCGCCUCCUUUGAUUUUAGCCAGUACUUCCCCUGCUUUUGAGAUCGCGAAGGAUACAUAAUUAGAAUACGCAUCUGAAGCGUACGCACUCAGUGGUGGACUGGCAGUGAAGGAAGUCGAGCUGUCGCUACCGCCGCCGCCUCCUUUGAUUUUAGCCAGUACUUCCCCUGCUUUUGAGAUCGGGAAGGGUACAAUCUCGGAAAAGCUCUCAAAUAUUUGAGCUUUAACUUGACCCCUUUUUGGAGGAAAUCUUGGAGUUGGAAGGUUAGAAGAAGUAGAUGCCAUCAACUAUGGAGGAUGAUCUGGAGAAAAAAAGUAGCGAAUUUUAUAAAUUUAGUAUCCACGGAUCAAAUUUUGAUUAUCAGAUGUGUUAAAGAUUGAACCGGGUUGACGGGGGUGGUGAAAGAAACCCCCGAGGUGCACAGGGGUGGUGCUGGCGUGCUGCUGAAUGAAUAUGAAGAAAAGGGUGUG